GCGGGGCGGGCGGAUUUGGUUGCCGGGGCCGCUGUCAUGGCGGGCCCGGGUGGCAGGACGUGGCGGGAUCUGUUGGCAGGGAGAGCCAGGAAACGAAAAAGCGCCUUUGGGAGUGGAGCAGAGCUCCGGGAAGCGGCUCUGCGUGUGCUGGAUCGCCAUCAGAACCUGAACGACCUCCUCCUGGAGGUGGAAGAUGCAGCCAAACCAGGUGGACAGGAGAGUGUAAAGAACCAGGAAGUAUCCUCAGAAUCAUUUACAGUCUCUGUUCUGCAGGAACAGGCCUUGAGAUUGGGUGUGCCCGCAGCAAUCUUGGCAGCCAAAAAUGCUGUUACCAACAUCGAGCGGAUCUGUCAGGAUUCUGCCAGCCCCUCGGAAGCCCCAUUACUGAACUUGGACCAGAGAAAGAGGUUGUCUGGCUUGCUUCAGACCAUGAAGGAUUUGCUGGCGAACAACGUGUUCUGUCGCUCAGUCUUCUGUCAAGAGAUGUGGAAAAUGAAGGCCCCUCCGGUGCUGGAAGCUGUGUGGCACUUGCACAGAGGAGACAUCAUUGGGCUGGGAGAGCUGCUGGAGAGCAGCCCGUCCGUCCCUGCUGCGGUGGAGUGGCUGUGCGGUGGCCUCAGUGGCCUCUGUGAGCAGGCGGAGGGGACCCACGGAGACGAGGAGGUGGCGGGACACGUCCUCUCAGACUUUGCGAUUGUGUUUCUUCAGAACGGCUUUCAGCAAACUUCAGAGCUGGGAAGGAAGUUGGAAUUCAAGAAGGUCCCCAAUAUCUGUCAUGCUGUCCUACAAAGAAUGUUGACAUGGGUGCUUGAUGCUGUUGCUAAAGAGAAGCAGGAAGAUGUUUCCACGUCACAAGCUGUGAGAUUCUGGCUGAACGUGUUCAAUGUGUCACUUUAUAAAAGCGUGGUUCAUCCAGAUUCCUUGCAGCAGUUUUUUAGACACACCCUGACCGAAGUUCUUACCUACAACCCGUUGUUGAAAGUGUCUGAUGCUAUCCAUAUGCAGAAGGAGUGGAGCUUUACAAGAACUUGUUCACUACUCACUACCUUGUAUCGCAAACUGUUCGUGGCGUUCAGCGCGAAGGAGUCGAUCUUGCAGCUGCAACAAGUCCUGGAGACCCACGAGGUGAACUGGCAGCACAUUCUGUCCUGUGUGUCCACACUGGUUGUGUGCCAGGCCGAGGCUGAGCAGCUCUUCAGAGAUCUAUUGAGCCGCCUCCUGAUAAAGGCCUUUGAGAAUUAUGAUAUGGAAAACAUGAUCACCGCAUUCCUGAUAGCUCGUCAGGCUGCUCUCGAGGGCCCUGCUGUGUUCAUGCCUUACUCUGAAUGGUUUAAGGCAUCCUUUGGGAACACUGGUGGUCACCAGGGGAGCAGUAAGAAAGCGCUGGUCUUCCUCUUCGAGUUCUUGUCAGAGCUGGUGCCCUUUGAGGCCGCGCUGUACCUGAAGGUCCAUAUAAUGUACCCCCCUUUUGUGCCAACAAAACAUCGGUCUAUUCUCUUGGAGUACAUCACUCUGGCUAAAACCAGGCUCGCCGACCUCAAGGUCGCUAUAGAGGACAUGGGGCUCUAUGAAGACUUGUCUUCCACAGAUGAAACAGUGCAGCCCCAGGGCCAGGCACUUCGGGAUGUUGAAAAGGCCCUUCAGAUAUUUGAAAACACCAGGAAGAUCCCAACAUCUGUGAUAGAAGCCAGUAUUUUCAGGCGACCAUAUUAUACUUCCUGGUUUCUUCCUGCUUUGCUCAGGCCACGUGUGCUCCCUAGAACCCCAGAUGCACGCAUGGCUUUUAUAGAUUCUUUAAAGAGAGCUGAUAAAAUACCCUCAAACUUGUACUCCACGUACAUGCAAGCCUGUCGUGCCAUGAAGGAGAAAAUGUUACAAGAUGAAUCGAAAGCAGAGACCAGCCCCUGCAAAGAGCCUGUUGAGCAGCUGGAGGCUGAGCUGGCUGAACUAAGGAUGCUGACUGUGGACGAGGCUAAAUAUGAAGAUGUGCCAGCACAGAUUGCAGUGAUUUCUGACAGACUCGCGAGCGUCUUGGGUCACAGCGGUGAUGAAAAUGAAGCUGCUACUUUGAAUUCUCCCAUCCAAGUUGACAUUUCCUCCCCCAGGCUGGAACGCGGCCAUCAGGGUGUUGUUGAUCUUCUGCUGACAUCAUUCUGCCAAAACCUAAUAGCUGCUUCCUAUUUUAACCCCCCAGACAGGCAGGGACCAUGUCUCUCCUUGUUGGUGAAGAUGAUGUGUGGACACAGGAAUCUCUUACCUGCCCUUCUGGGCAGGCUCUGCCAGCUUAUUUAUCACCAGGGUCCUUCCCUGGAUGACGCUCACAUUUUAGGACUAGCAGCUUUUGUGAUCCACUUAAGUGAAUCCAGAGCUUUAAUUCCUGAAGUGGAAGCCAGUUUUGGGAUUUCCCAGCCCGUUCCUGGAAAGGUCCUUUCCGUUUCCGAGUACUGGAACUCCUUGCUAGUGUGCAGGACGGAAGAGUCGUUUGCCUUCUGCCUGAGGUUUUGCACUGCAGCAGCAUCUUAUCUCAUGUGCAAGUUUUCAUCCUGUUCUCAUGAAGAUUUGUGUGCCUUGUUUCCUCCUGACCUUGUUAAAAAGCUGCAAUACCUCGUGCCACGGCUGAGCUUGGAAGCUCGGGGAAUCCCGUGCGAGGAGCCUAAAACGGACCCCAUCUGGAGUUCCCUGUCACAGUCCUCGCUGAACUACAGGAGAGCCAGCCUGUGUUUAUGGAAGCAAGCACGCUUUCAGGAGCUCUUGAAGGAAGAAGCAUUCCAGUUGUCUUUCAGAGAGUGGUUGCUGCUGGAGCUGGAGGUGUACCCUGAAAAGGAUAUUCUGUCUGCUUCGGAAAGACAGGAUUUCCAUCACUGGGCCAUCUAUCAACGGUAUCUUCCAGCACCUUCUGCUUCUGGUGGCUGUGAUGGAGACCUGGAGAAGGCCUGUGGUGUUAUUAUCAACACUGUCCUGGAUUCCUCACAAAGGUUGGACCUGGGUGGCUGUGGCACAUCGAAGAUGUCGAUCAGGCCUGAUGUUCUCUGCAGGCUGCAGGAGAUGGUGCUGGAGCUGGGGUGUAGGCCGAAGUCACUUUCUGGCUGCUUGGAUCUCCGGAGACACUUCUUGUUUGAGAUUCUCCAGGAAAGGCUGAAAGACAGAAAACACGGCUCAGCUUUGAGCGAGCAGUUGUGGAGGCGGCAGGAGCUGCUGCUGCACAGGAGGAUUCUGGUGGGGCUCCCUGCGUCCGCCCUGAUCGUGACUCGUGGAAAAGGAAAGAAAACAAUGCUGGACUGUGAAGACUUUUUUCAUUUUGUAAACUCGGAGCUGAAGAACGUCUGUUCCAGGGGGUAUGCACUCUCCUACGACAUCACCGCCCACUUCUUCAGGGGCCUGCUGAAUGCCAGUGUGGGCUGUGAGGAACCAGCAGAAGGGGUCAACAAUGUUCUCGCAGUGUGUCAAACCAAGUGUCCUGUUUUGCUCUUCUCAGCAGCGCUUUGGUGGCCCAGGCUGGAGCCGGUGCUUUGCUCGCAGUGGAGGAGGCUCUUCCAGGCUCCGCUUGCAGACGGACUGGAGCAGCUGAGGGCAGGGCAGUCCACGGCUGCCCGGUGUGUGUGAGGAAUGCACGGGCCUGCGGGCAGGAGAAUCGGCUCUCUGCGGGUUCAGUGCCUGGCACAGCCGUUCCGUGGGGCAGGCAGGGGUUCUGCAGGCUGAACAGAAUGCUGAUGGGAACCGAGGCGUGUAGGACAGCUCUGCACAGAUCCCUUUGUAGAGUUUAAACUCAAAACAGCUUCCUUUCCUCAGGAGCGGUUUUCCAACCGUCCAGCCCUCCCUGGAUGUCGGCCGCCUUCCUCCACUGCGUGGUUCAGCAGCAGUUGCCGUGUGGACGAGGAAGAGACGUGCUGAAGAGGCUGGGGACUGAUGCAGAGCAGCUGCUUAUUUCUCUGCUGUUCUUCUCGCUCAUGGAUCUCAUCUCAGCAAAAAUAGCACCAAAGGAGGGAGUGGAUUUUCAGCCGUCUCUGGAAUGGUCGCUGGAGAUCUUGCAGUGCCUGGAGGAGAGGGGCACGUCCUGGCCGCUGCUCUUCCCUUCGGCAGAGAAUGACCCUGGAAAAUACCAUGUCUUGCACAACGCAGCCUCAGACCGUCACAUCCAGCUCCUGCCUCUCGCCUUCUACAGCCUCACCCCUGCCUUCCGCCCCGAGCUGCUCACCCAAGAGCCGACCUUCCUCCUUGUGGCGCUCGAUCUGUAUGUCCAGCUGCUCCGGCUCUUUGUGGAAGGGAAGGACUUGCCGCAGUCUGAUCAAGUCGGGGAGGUCCCAGACCUCACAGAGUGUGGGGAUCCGGUGGAGCUCAUCGCCACAGCCCGGCGGUUCCUGCUUGGUGCCAUCCCGCGAUGCCCUGCCCAAAGCUUUGGGAACAUCCGAUCGCUCGUGUCUGUGUGUGAAGAACUUGACCCCGAGCUGGGAGCCACUCUCCUGCACUUCUCGAGGCCCGAGGCAGCUAUGGAGCUGGAGGAAGAGCUGCUGCUCUUCUGAGGGAUGCGCAGGGCUGAGCAGGACGCCCCAACUCUGCAGGAAGGGACAGACAAGGUGCCACCUUUCUACCAGCACUGUUUCUUUCAAAUUAACUUUGUAAAUAAUUUAUUACAAGCAUAACCAUGAAGCUUUUGUUACAAUAAAAAGUAGGUUACAAAUUUCA